AGGGGCGUGCUAUAAUGCAAGUCGACGAACUCUGGUAUUGAUUGGUGCUUGCAUCAUGAUUUACAUUUGAGUGAGUGGCGAACUGGUGAGUAACACGUGGGAAACCUGCCCAGAAGCGGGGGAUAACACCUGGAAACAGAUGCUAAUACCGCAUAACAACUUGGACCGCAUGGUCCGAGCUUGAAAGAUGGCUUCGGCUAUCACUUUUGGAUGGUCCCGCGGCGUAUUAGCUAGAUGGUGGGGUAACGGCUCACCAUGGCAAUGAUACGUAGCCGACCUGAGAGGGUAAUCGGCCACAUUGGGACUGAGACACGGCCCAAACUCCUACGGGAGGCAGCAGUAGGGAAUCUUCCACAAUGGACGAAAGUCUGAUGGAGCAACGCCGCGUGAGUGAAGAAGGGUUUCGGCUCGUAAAACUCUGUUGUUAAAGAAGAACAUAUCUGAGAGUAACUGUUCAGGUAUUGACGGUAUUUAACCAGAAAGCCACGGCUAACUACGUGCCAGCAGCCGCGGUAAUACGUAGGUGGCAAGCGUUGUCCGGAUUUAUUGGGCGUAAAGCGAGCGCAGGCGGUUUUUUAAGUCUGAUGUGAAAGCCUUCGGCUCAACCGAAGAAGUGCAUCGGAAACUGGGAAACUUGAGUGCAGAAGAGGACAGUGGAACUCCAUGUGUAGCGGUGAAAUGCGUAGAUAUAUGGAAGAACACCAGUGGCGAAGGCGGCUGUCUGGUCUGUAACUGACGCUGAGGCUCGAAAGUAUGGGUAGCAAACAGGAUUAGAUACCCUGGUAGUCCAUACCGUAAACGAUGAAUGCUAAGUGUUGGAGGGUUUCCGCCCUUCAGUGCUGCAGCUAACGCAUUAAGCAUUCCGCCUGGGGAGUACGGCCGCCAGGCUGA
rnacentral:rRNA from 2 species